UACAGAGGGUGCGAGCGUUGUCCGGAAUCACUGGGCGUAAAGGGCGCGUAGGUGGCCUGGUAAGUAGGGGGUGAAAUCUCGCGGCUCAACUGCGAGGCUGCCUCCUAAACUGUCAGGCUCGAGCAGAGUAGAGGCAGGUGGAAUUCCCGGUGUAGCGGUGGAAUGCGUAGAGAUCGGGAAGAACACCUGUGGCGAAAGCGGCUCUCUGGGGACCAUCUGACGCUGAGGCGCGAAAGCGUGGGGAGCGAACCGG
rnacentral:rRNA from 1 species